rnacentral:lncRNA from 1 species
UUUUACUACAAACUAGCUGAGGUUGUGGGUGGUUUUUCACAAUGCCCAUUUAUUCAGUGCUGUGAUUUUGAUAAAUUUUCUUCACAAAUCCACAUCUCUGUGAAAUUGGAGUGUGUGAAUUCAUUUUUAGCACCUUGUUUUGACAUAAAAGCCCUCUGUAGUUGUAAAUUUGGGCUGGAAAAGUACAAUCAUAUACUGUAGCAAGCAGAUUUCCUCAGUUUGAACAUCUGUCAUUGGAAAUAUUUGCCAAGGAAACUUCAUGUGGUGCCUUUCAUGAGGAAACCGAGCAACAAGUGCGAUUGGUUUGCAUCUCCCUCUUUAUCCAUUUUUAAUAGGAUUUGAUGAGUAUUUCACUGUUUUAUUGAGGAUCUUCAAAGGAUGAUGGGUAAGAGGAUGAGCUUUAGGGGUCAGGAAAAGCAGGGUUUGAGUUCAGGACAUAUUAAUUGGGUGACUGUAGAACUAGUGUGACCUCUGUGGACUUAAUGGACUCAUCCUCAAAGUGGAGGUUGGAUUUACUCCUUUUUUUCACAGUGUUGGUGUUGGGAGUGUCAAAGGAGAUAUCUAAGCACUUAGCAGGGUACCUGGCAUAGAAGAAGUACUCACUUAACAGGGGGUUGUCAUGGUCAGAUGAUGUCUCUAAUGAGAGGAAGUGGGCAAUGAAUGCAGAGGAUCAAGUGACCAGGCACACUGCCCAGUCAAGGCUGAUGUGAGGGCACCUGUUACUCUGAUGUGGCAGAGUGUCAGAUACUGAGUAGGGCAAGAGGACCCCCAGUUGGGAAUUGCUGCUUCAACAAAGCCUUCCUCUGUAUGAGCUUCCUUCCAGGCAGAGAAUUAGAAGUGGAGAACAGCAUCCAGGCAAUCUGAGAGUGAAGACCGAGCUGCAAGACUGUGGGUCUCCACCCCAGGAGUUCAUCCGUGGGAAAGAGGAACAUUGGCGUCUGUGGAAAGUAAACCACAGCAGAGGACACUGAGCAACUUCAAAAUACUAAAGAAUCUUUCCAAACGUGGGCUUGGUGGAGGUAUGCGGGAGCAUAUGACAAAAGAAACGGCAAAUGUGGCUGAUGACUGCUGAUGGUACUGGAGUGUUGUUGCCCACUUCCAGAAAUGGUGGACAGCUGUAGCCAAGAAGACAAAAGAGAAGAUUAGAAGCAACUGAGACCUAACCGAGUCACAGACCUCACAGAUGAAAAGGUGAGUCUGGUUUAAAAUCGCAUCUCCUGGGCCCACUUCAGUGUAUGAGUUCUCAGAACUGUGGUGCACACGCGUUUCUGUAAGAGGUACAUUGAUUGUUCUGGAGACAAGAGACUCACCUUGGUUGUGAACUGAUGCCUUAGCUGAAUGUAGGGAUGAGUGUCUCCAUGGCUUUCUAACCCCUGGGCAAUGUUUCAUAGCAAUUACCUGUACAACCAGUUGCUAUGGUUACCUAUUGUCUAUCCUUCAAAAGGAGAAAUUUCCAGCUAAACUAGUUAGCAGGAGAAAUGGUGCUGAGAUCUGACACGAAGGAGUGGAACAUGCAGGAAAAAUGUCUUCAUUUAAAUAGUGACAAGUUUU